GUAAUCCUACGGGGCGCAGCAGUAGGGAAUCUUCCACAAUGGGCGAAAGCCUGAUGGAGCAACGCCGCGUGGGUGAAGAAGGUCUUCGGAUCGUAAAACCCUGUUGUUAGAGAAGAAAGUGCGUGAGAGUAACUGUUCACGUUUCGACGGUAUCUAACCAGAAAGCCACGGCUAACUACGUGCCAGCAGCCGCGGUAAUACGUAGGUGGCAAGCGUUAUCCGGAUUUAUUGGGCGGAAAGGGAACGCAGGCGGUCUUUUAAGGCUGAUGGGAAAGCCUUCGGCUUAACCGGAGUAGGGCAUUGGG
rnacentral:rRNA from 1 species